UUUAAAUGUAAAUAUUUAAAUUAAGGAGUAAUAGUUAUGUUCUUAAAAUUUAAAGAUUUUGGCGGUAUUUUAGUCUAUUUAGAGGAACCUGUUCUGUAAUUGAUAGUCCACGAUAAAUUGAACCUAAUUUUAAAAAUUUGUAUAUCGUCGUUAUUAAAUAUUUUAUAAGAAUUUUAAUGUUUAAUUUUUUGUAUAAAAAAAUAUAUCAGAUCAAGGUGCAGUUUAUAGUUAGGUAGAAAUGGGUUACAAUAAAUUUAUUUAUUAUGGAUUUAUAUAUUAAAAUAUAUAAUGAAGGAGGAUUUAAUAGUAAUAGAAUUUAAAUAAAUUUUGUGAUUUUAGCUCUAAAAUGUGU
rnacentral:rRNA from 1 species